GUGUCAGCCGCCGCGGUAAUACAGAGGUCCCAAGCGUUGUUCGGAUUCACUGGGCGUAAAGGGUGCGUAGGCGGUCGGGUAAGUCUGAUGUGAAAUCUCCAAGCUCAACUUGGAAAUGGCAUCGGAUACUAUUCGGCUUGAGGAGUGGAGGGGAGACUGGAAUUCUCGGUGUAGCAGUGAAAUGCGUAGAUAUCGAGAGGAACACCAGUGGCGAAGGCGAGUCUCUGGACACUUCCUGACGCUGAGGCACGAAAGCCAGGGGAGCAAACGGGAUUAGAAACCCCUGUAGUCC
rnacentral:rRNA from 1 species